UAGUAUUCGGUUGUAUGGAUACCACAGCUUUAUUUAUCUACUGUUGAUUGACAUUUAGAUUGCUUCAUUUGGGGUUUUUAUGAGUAAUGCCGCUACGAAUAUAGUGUACAGAUGUACAUAUUUCUAUUGAGUAUAUGGUUAUCUAAUCCGAUUGCUGGAUCAUAAAGUAUGCAUAUGUUCAAUUUUAAUAGGUACUGCCAAAUAUUUUUUCAAAGCACUCACAUCAAUUUACACUUCUACUCUAAUGUUCCCGUUGUUCCACCCUGUUGUCUACACUUGGUAUUGUCAAUUUAAAAAAAAUGGUAUGCUGGUGGUUGUGUAUUGGUAUUUCAUUUGGGUUUUAAUUUGCAUCAAGCUUACGACAAUGAUAUUUAGCACCUUUUCUUUUUUUUUUUUUUUUUUUUUCAGCCAAUCACAAAAAACAGACUUUAUUGAAGUAUUUAGCACUAAACCCCACACAAUUCCAGCUCUGUAGCUGAGGACACAGCCACUUGGCAAUGGCACCAGGUGUUAUACAAGACCAAUAAGUUAAUGUAAAGGACGCUUAGGUGUGGAGGGCCAGUGCUCAGCCGUCUCCUGGCUCAGUACAAGGCACUCUGGGCUCCAGUUAGGACACUGAGAGGCCAGGGAAACCAACAUGCCCUGGAGAAAGGGGCUUAGAGACAAACCGGAAAAGCACAGCAUCCAAGCAGGGUAUUCACGCAUGGGGGGCAGAGUAGGCCCAAAAGUUGGGGGUUGCUGAUGCGGUAAGAGCACAGUGAGAGAAAUGCCAGGUGCAUCCCUUCAGCCUCCUGCAUCCUCCCCCAGGUUCCUUUGAUGGGCCAUCCUGGGUCUUCCCUUGGCACCCUUGUGCAAUCGGCUACAUCGUUUUCUUUCCAGUAGAGAGAACUGUGCCUCUUCUAGGUCAGACACCAGAGUUCUUGGAACCUUCUGCUAUAUUCACAGUCUGUUCCAGUCCAGGUAACAUGGGGGCAGAGAGUUCUGCACAGGUGAAGUCAGAACUCAGCUCUCCCUACCUCUCCUAGCCUCAAUUCAGUUGCUUUCUCAUUGAAGCAGGUCCCCUGACCUGGAAGCAAAGAAGGCCCUAGGAUGAGAACCCAGGGACAGCUGGGUGGUCUUAGCACAGGCAGCUUCCAGACUUGCUCCAGUCGCUGCAGCUGGGACAAUUAAUGAAUGCCCCCAAAGAAAAUUCAGCAUCUCAUCAGCCCUUGGGAGUGAGUAUGUCCAUGUUUGUAUAAAUAACCACCUUCUCAGAGCAGAAGCAUAGCUGGUGGGGGGAGUAGGAACUGUGACUCCCUCUCCCAACCAGAACAUGCCACAAAAGUGGUGCCUUUCCAAAACCACUUGUAAAGUAUUGGUUUUUGGGACUAUGAUGAAAAAACGUUAGAAGGGCCAGGUGCGGUGGCUCAUGCCUGUAAUCCCAGCACUUUGAAAGGCCAAGGCAGGUGGAUCACUUGAGGUCAGGAGUUCGAGACCAGCCUGGCCAACAUGAUGAAACCCCAUCUCUACUAAAAAUAAAAAAUUAGCAGGCAUGGUGGUGCUUGCCUGUAAUCCCAGCUACUCGGAAGGCUGAGGCAGGAGAUUCGCUUGAACCCGGGAGACGGGGGUUGCAGUGAGCCGAAAUCUUGCUACUGCAUUCCAGCCUGGGCGACAGAGCGAGACUCCAUCUCAAAAACAAACAAACAAAAUGUUAGAAGGAGCAGUGGGGCUGCAAGCCCUUGAGAUGCCCAGAGGUAGCUGUCAAAGGGUGGCUGCUGUCCACUAACCACAAGCAUGGAUCAGCCCCCAGCCGGACCCCCUGAGGCUACAAACCGUGAUGCCACUGACUCAAAGCUCAGGGGUCUGGGAGCCCACAGGGCAUAGACAGGGUAUAGUGACUGGGUCCCUAAAGAGGAUUUAGGGGGUCAGGAAAAUAGCAGGGUCUAGCAAGACAAUACACCACCGGGAUAUACUGACCUUUGACCUACCACUUGGUGUGUGCAUCACAGAGCACAUUAGAAAGGGGGAAGAGAUUCUCCCCCAGCCCAGGCUGGGGUACCCAGAGACCUGGGAAAUGGGGGAGAGUCAUGUGCAUGAGUAUGUACCAUGUCCAGCCUCCAGCAAUAGUGGGACAGGAGGGCCAGGGGCAGUUCCCCAGGGAAUUUCUUAGAACCAGAGCACAGAGUGUUGGAGAACUCCCAAGGUGGCCCACUCUGCUUCACUCGUCCCCUGCCACUUGUCUUAUAUAAGGAGAUAGAGGCUGUCAGUCAGACAGGCAAGGCCUUAAGUCCAGUAGGCCAAACUCUGGGGGAUAAAACAUAAUCAUAUCACAGGGGUAUUGAGGACAAUCCACAUAUAUAAAUCCUUAGGUCAGGGCUUCUGAAAAAAGUCGUGUAAAAAAAAAAUAAUAAAAGGUCUCAGCUCCAGGUCAUCGGCCUGCGAUGGGGAUGGGGAAGCUGAAAGAGGCACUCAGGGGUGGGGGGGUCUCAGCCCAGCCCCUCUAUGAAACAGUUUUUUCCAGCGUGGGGCGCAGAGUUACACCUGGCUGAUGAUCUCUCCUUUUUCAGGUACAAAGACUUGCACAGGGGCCCCGUCAGGCGAUCUCCGCAGCACACACACUGUGGGCACCUGUGCCCGGGGUCCCAGGGCUCGCCCGAAGCCCUCUCUCCCAAGGGGCAGGCUCCUGACCCGGAAAGCUCCUUGGCGGUCCAGUGAGUGGGGGCGGGUGCUCCGGAGGCGUGCACGCUCGUGCCACCACUUGAGCUCCUCGGACACGGCGGCCUUGCUGAGCCCCCGGCCUGCCGGGCUGUCCUUCAGGGAGGGCGUCCGCACGAUGCGGCUGCGAGAGGGCACCAGACGCUGGUAGCGCAGGGGAGUGCCCUCCUCCUCGUAAGCAGGGCCCGGGACUGCGCGGCACAGCUCCCACUCGCCAGGCGGCAGGGGGCUCUCAGCCACCACCACGUACCGCCCCGCCGGGAAAUAGCCAGGCGGCAGCAGUAGCUUGGGGUGGUGGGCGACCAGCUCUCUGCUGCCGGCUGGGACCCAGGCCCCGCGGUAUUUAGCACCUUUUCUUAUGUGUAUUAGCCAUUUAAAUAUCUUCCGCUGCACAGUGCACUUUCAAAUCUUUUGCCCAUUAAAAAAUGAACUUUCUGUCUUGUUCUUACUGAUUUGUAUAUUCUGGAUAUGAGUUCUUCAUUGGAAAUAUUUGUCUUGCAAUUAUCCUCUACCUUUUUGUGGACUUUUAGUUCUCUUAAUUUUUUAAUGAAGAAAAAUUCUUAAUUUUAAUGUUAUUAAAAUCCAAUUUGGUAUCCUAUUGAAAUCUCUGCCUAUGCCAAUAUCAUGAAAAUUCUCUUAUGUCACCUUCUAGAAGUUUAUUGUUUUACCUUUAACAGUUAUGUCUAUAAUUUAUCUGGAAUUGAUUUUUUGUGUAUGGUAUAAGAUAAAGGUUCAGAUUUAUGAAUUUAAUAGUAUAAGAACUCUACACAGAAAAAAAACAAAAACAAUUAAAACAAAAUUAAAACCUAAUUAAGUGAAGAUAUAUCAUGUGAGUAGAUCAAGUCAAUAUCACAAAGUUAUCAAUUCUCCCUAGAUUGAUAUACAAGAUUAAUGGAAUCUCAAUGGAAAUUUCAGUAGGCCAACUUAGUAGAAAUUUCCAAGCUGCCUUUAAAAUUUAUUUGAAAAUACAAAAUGUUAAAAUUAGUCAAAAUAGUCUUGAAGAAAACAACAACGCUGGAAGACACACACAAUCAUGUAUGAAAACUUAACAAGUUUCAGUAAUCAAGACAAUAUGAUUUGGUUUAAUGAUGGUUAAAUAAAACAAUGGAACAGAAAAAGAGUCCAGAAACUUAUCCACACCUACACAGUCGCUUAAAUAGUGACAAAGGCUCCAGCACAGUGCAAUGGAGUAGGAUGGUCUUUUUCAUAAAUUAUGCUGGAUCAAUUGAUUAUUCAUACAGAAAAAUUGCUAACUUUAACCUAGCAUUGUUAUAUAAGGCAUUCUAAAUGGCAUUGCUUCUGUUCAUUAUUUCUGUUUUCUGCAAGAUAAACUUUCUUUAUGAUCAGGUAUAUUGACCCUGCUUUCUAAGUUCAAAAGGUUUUUUACACACAUCUCUUUCUAUUUUGGGCUUUUUAUAGUGUUAUGUUUAAGAGCCUGAGUUCUGGGAUCAGAAUGCCUGGAUUAAAUUAACAUCUCCAGACUUACUAGCUAUCUGACCUUGGUGCAAGUUAUUUAAUCUCUCUGUGCUUCAGUUUUUUCUCUCAUAAAAUAGGGACAACAAUAGUAUCCACAUGACAGAUUGCUGUGAGAAUCAAGUCAUCGUCCACUCAACCUGCCAGUGCAUCUAGAUGACUCAUACAUUUAUGCUCUUCUGCCCAUUUCAUCUGGAUUCCUGAAGUCCAUGAAAAUUUCAUCUUAGAGUCUACAUUUGGGCUUUUCCUUGACCAUAACCUCUUAUCUGGCUUGGUAACUACCUGUCAUAGAAGAUCUCUCAAAUGACCUCAUCUCCAGGUUUGCUGUGUCCUUUUGUAGCUCACCACAUGGUAUAAAAUUUUCUUCUCCUCCUAUACAUGAACAUUGUACUGUAGGGUUGUGACUGUGCCACUCUUAAGAUUUGUCCUGCACCAGGAGCGUGACUUGGCAUGACUCAGAGAAUAGGCUAUUGCCAUGUUUGACACUGGGCCUCCCAGCAGAUAUAACAGGAUUCUGCAAGAUUGUAUUCUAAUUUCAACUCAUGUAAGACCUAAAUCCUUAAAUGGCAGCUCUGUGGCAAGUAGAGGAAAAACGUAACUUCUUUUCUUGUGUCACUCAGGAAGGUACAUGUAUUUCUGGUUUGGAAAAAAAUGGAAUUUACAAGACUAUAAUGACAUACAUAAUCAUAGCAUGCCAACUUGUCUAAAGAGAAAUCAAAAGGCCUUCAUUGUUGCAUGAAGCAGAGAGAGAAAGUGUGAAGCGAUAUUACACUAUUUCCAUCUCAACUAGAAAAUAAGAUUGCAUUGAUUGUUGAGGUUACUCACUUCAGUAUUGUUAGUGAGUAGGUUUCCUCAAAGAUUAGCUCGAGUUAUGAAAACCAUUGCCUUUCUGAAGUGGUGAUGAUAAGAGAUGGUCAUGCUAAAUAGGAUGAGAGCUACUUACCUAGCUCUUUUAUAGCAUGUUCCAUAUUCCUUAUCACUUGCUUUAAUAACAUCUAAGGAACAAAAGAAAUGUUAUCCCCAUUGGAAAAACAGACUGUUAUAAAAUGUCCUUACAUUUGCAACUGAUGGAUUUUUAACCUAAGUUAAUAGUUUUAAGAGAAGUAGGAUGAAGAGGUUUUCAGGGGUUCGAAUUGAAUUUUGUGCCGCAGCACUUUUUGCUUCAGCUAAAGUAAUAGAGAAGAUAAGAGGUAUAACCUAGCCCAAUUUUGAGACAUCUGAAGGUGAGUCAUGAUUCUGAAAAGUGCAGGCAUGGUAUUAAUUCCUAAUAUAAUUUGGAUGUUUGUAAUAUGAAACGUUAUAAAACUUAAUUUGUCAAAGGGAGCUAAAAUUUAAGAUACAAACAUUAGCCCAACAGAAAAUUGUAGCCAUAAAACUAGUAAACUGAUUUUAGUCUAUGUUUUAUGAACAUAGGUAGGUACUUUCCCAUUCGGCUUUAUGAGAGCCCCCAGAUUUGUGAUUCCAGGAUGGCUUGCAAUCUUAAGGGAUUAGAAAUUUUGGCCAAGGUGAACGAAAGUAGAAAUUAGGGAUAAUAAGACAAUAUUUUAGGGACUCAAGUCUUUUCAUAUUUUCUCCUGUGUGUCUCCAAAUUCAAGUGCUAAAUAUCAGUGGUUAGAAAAGGUAAUAAAACAUAAGAAAAUAGUUUUAAAGUUGCAGGAGGUGAAGAGAGGAAGAUACUACUUUUUGUGUUCUACCACAUAUUGAAUGUUCAGUUUCUCAAUGACAAAGUUUUGGGCACAUAAAAUAUAGCAUUGAGAUGUUUUAAAUCGUCUUGAAAAGUAAAUAUUGCAUUCCACAUAGCUGACAAACUUAUGGGCACAUAUCGGUUUUAAUCUGUCUCAAUCUAGAAAGUAAAAAUAAUAUCUAGAAUUUAGGCCUUAGAAUUAUCUUUCCUGCUUACUCACUAUGGAACUUUGGGCACAAUCAUUUAACCUCUCUUGGCCUCCUUUUUCUCAUCUGCAUAAUGACAAAAUCAAACUAGGUUUCCCUCUAUUUUAAUUAUUGUUUUCUUUACUUCUUUCUAUUUGCUGAAUCACUUGUUUUUAUUUCCUUUACUGUUUAAUGUGUAGAAAACAAGGAUAGAGAGAGAUGAAAGAAGCUUUUGGGCAUUAUGAGGAAGCCCUGUUUUCUCCACCCUGCCUUCACUUCUCACCUUCCAGUACUUCCUAUUUUACACACCCAUAGCCUGACAGAUCUUAGAGCUUGCAUUGGGAGAAAGCUAACCACUGCACUUGGGUUUUGUGAUAGCCUCCACAAAGACAGAAGUGUGCCUUAUAGGAGCCUUGUAACUUGCUAAUAUGGCACAGUUCAUUUCAGAAGGAGGCAUUUGAGUAAUUUAAAUGUAACCUAGUUUAAGUUUUUAAAGAAAUGAAUUAGAAAACCAGGAGUCAAAGACAUCUGCAUAUAUGAACAGAAAAAAAUGAUGGAUGAGGGCAACUGAGGGCUGAGUGAACUCUUUUCUUAGGAUUUAAGGUUUUCUUACCUGUUUAAUCUGUUUAGAACUUGUAAUCUGAUCAAUUAUGGUCAUUAUGUCUGCUUCGCCUUGGACAUAGCCUUUUAGUAUUCCAUACCAAAAGGUCUUCUGAUGACUCAUUCUUUUAUCUAUUAUUUGCAGCAACUUUGGUGCUAUGAGCUGAAUUAAACAGGACUUCCAUUAAUAUAAAUUGCACAAAUAUCAUUUUAUGAUAUGUUGAUUAGUUUAAUCAAAAUAGUUAAUAAUAAGAAAUUAAGUGCCCUCAAAGGUAACUACAAUAACCUGUCAAGGUUCUUUGUUAUUUUUUUAGUGGUAUCUUUAUAACUUCAUGACUAUAGCUAUUUCCCUAUAACUAAUAAUUUGGGGGUACCUAUGUGAAAUUUAUGACUUUAUUCUUUACUUAUUUUCCUUAUAGAGAAUUGGAUGCUAUUUUCAACUGGUUUCAAUUCUUGGAAAACAAUGCAAUUAAUCUUCUGUGCUUAGGUCAUAAAAUGACUAAAUUACUGCCAUUUUUGCAUGCUAAAUCUCCUAUAACACCUCCUACUUGAUGGUCUGGUCAGGUGAGAAACCACCACAACCAUACUGCCUGUUAGACCCCAAAAUUAACUUCACUUCUCUCUGUUUCUUUGCUGAGGGUUGAAGUCUCCAGGUUAUCAGCUACCAUUGUGCAGUCCCCUAGCUUCUGCAGAGUUCAUUGAUCCCUUUGUUUUUCUAUCUAUGUUCCACAACCUCCAUACUCUACCCUGCAACUACCUGCCACUAAUCUCCAAAGGGUUUACACUCAUCUUUCAAGAUUCAGCUCAAGUAUCACCUAAUAAAUGAAGUCUUUUCUCAUUCUGUGCAUACUCCUGUUUUGCACUUAUCCUACCAUAUAACAUUUCAAUAUCUAGAUUACUCGUGAUUUUUCUUCUACAAUAAGCUUUCCAGGGGAAGAGACAAUAUCUAAUUCAUCUUCAUAUUCCAAGGACCUGUGAUUUAACAUAAGACCAUAGUUCAGAGUUUUCUGAAUAUAUCAACAAACUUUUCUAAGUUGUUUUAUUAGUUUCUUCAUCUGAACUAUUUGUUAGGCUCUGUAUACCUUCCUAUCAGAAUUAAUUCAUCAGUGGAAUACACUAGACUCGCCUUCCUCAGGUAAAUUGUACUCUAGCACUACUUAUGAUCCCUUAGAAUACCGAAAAAGCAGACUACUGGUUCUGUACUCUUUGACCUAGUUGAUUUAUGCCUCUCAGUAGCAAAAAUGUUUUAAAUUAUUCCUUGCAUGUGUAAGAAAGAUCUAAAUGUAAAGAUUCUAUUAGUUUUAUCUCCAUACAAACUAUGUUUUAUUUAACUGUAUCACUCACAGUGCUUAUAUAUGCAUGUAUCUUGUUUGUGUAUGAAUAGUGAAAAAGAUAGGAAAGAGAGAGUAUAUCUGCAUUCAUAUAUAUACUUAUUUGUGGAGGAGUGAGUUUCAUGUCAUUGAAAUAAUCACACAGAAAAUAACCACCCAUAAUAUUUGUUAUAGAAACAUGUUAUUAGACAAUCAAAGGUUAUUUUUGAAACCAUAUUUCUAUAAUACUAUAUGUAUUUUUUCCUUGAUUUGUAUAAAUGUAGGAUAUUUUCUUUGUCCCUAUAAAUAGUUUGCAUGGUUGUUUUGUUAACUUCCAUCUUUUAUUCCCCAAAUAUCUAUAAAAAUAAACAUUACAUGGAGGUUAA